rnacentral:rRNA from 1 species
UACAGAGGGUGCAAGCGUUGUUCGGAAUUAUUGGGCGUAAAGGGCGCGUAGGCGGUUCGGCAAGUCUCUAGUGAAAUCUCAGGGCUCAACUCUGAGUCUGCUGGGGAAACUGCCGGGCUUGAGUGUGGGAGAGGAGAGUGGAAUUCCCGGUGUAGCGGUGAAAUGCGUAGAUAUCGUCAAGAACACCGAUAGCGAAGGCAGCUUACUGGGCUGUAACUGACGCUGAUGCACGAAAGUGUGGGGAUCAAACAGG